GAGUCGGCUGCCGCCGGGCUCCUGGCCACAAGGGGGCGCAUCUCCUCCACUGUCUCCCGCAGCCUGAGGACUGCGCUGCUAUUGCAGAUGGAGGAGCUGUGUCAAUGACACGGAAGCUGCCUCCUGUAGAGAGAGAUGGCACUGGCUGCAGCUAGGGGGAGCUCCAGAGCACAGCUCCUCCCGGGCCCUUUGUAAGCCAGCCGAGGGAAGCUCAGAACUCUCUGCUCCUCCAUGCUCUGGAUGAUAGCCAAAGACAGCUGAAUCCCGCCCUGCCCGUUUUUGUGCGCCCUGCCGCCCCGCCGUUUGCUGCCUGCCGGACCCCGCCACGUCGCCGGAUCCAGCCGUGCGCCGCCGGACCCGCCCCAUUUCACAUCAACCCGGCGCCUGGUCUUCAGGUAGCACCGGUUGCUAAGGCCGCCGAGCAAGCUCCGGUAUCCAGGAAGUCUCGGCUGAUGACGCUCGGGCAUGUACACGUCACCAUUGCCAAAGAGGUUCGGGGCGAAUGCUGUUCCCACCCCCUUCCCCCAGCGUGUGUCCCGUUCGUGGGUCUUCUAGCACAUAAAAGCCCCAUUUCACAUCAACCCGGCGCCUGGUCAUCAGGUAGUACCGGUUGCUAAGGCCGCAGAGCAAGCUCCGGAAUCCAGGAAGUCCCGACUGAUGACGCUUGGGCAUGUACACGUCACCAUUGCCAGAGAGACUCGGGGCGGAUGCUGUUCCCACCCCCGUCCCCCGGUGUGUGUCCCGUUCGCGGGUCUUCUAGCACAUAAAAAGUAUGUUUUAAAUUUGUUUUCACUUGUAUCUCCUUGACAAAAGGGCAUCACGGCCCCGAAACGUUGAUUACCUGUUCCAGUGAUGGAUUAAAAACACAGUUUUCUUUGACUUUA